GACGUGGGGCGCGAGCGUUGUCCGGAUUUAUUGGGCGUAAAGAGCUCGUAGGCGGCUUGUCGCGUCGAAUGUGAAAUCCUGCGGCUCAACUGCAGGCUUGCAUUCGAUACGGGCAGGCUCGAGUUCGGUAGGGGAGACUGGAAUUCCUGGUGUAGCGGUGAAAUGCGCAGAUAUCGGAAAGAACACCAACGGCGAAAGCACUCUGCUGGGCCGACACUGACACUGAGAGACGAAAGCUAGGGGAGCGAAUGGG
rnacentral:rRNA from 1 species